rnacentral:lncRNA from 1 species
GCUCCUGCGUCAUAUACUGCCUUUGCAACUUCAUAGAAGUGGAAUCGUGCUUUCCUGGUCUCUUCCAUGCUUUACACUUCAAAACUCGUAAUAUUGUGCGUGAACCUAUUAUGUCGCCAUGUCGGAGGCAUAGAGAGAAACAUAUUUCAGGGUAUUAACAGAAUCCAAUCUAUUUCUCCACUUGGUACUGCAUACACAUUACAGAAAUUUCCUACUUCAUAGAUUCUAGCUUUUUCAAAUCAUAAGUGAACACUAUACAGUGGAAACAAUAUACAAAAGCACAUUGCAUCAUCCAAGAGCAUAAGUCUUUUCCCAGUAUCAUCCCAGCAACUACUAUCAUAUUUGCUUGUCUUGUCAAAAAAACAGCACCAUAUUAUUCUUCUCUUGAUUUACUAUCACUUUUUCUGCCAGAGCUAUGACUUCAGCACAUAGAAUGAACUCAAGAUUGAACAUAUAUUCAAAUUAAAAGCAAAAGUAGGUGAUUUCUUCCCGGCGGAAGCCAAAAACACUAGGUAAAUUCUUCUCAUCUGCCUAACCUUGAGGUGCAGAGUUAGCUGGUACCUGUGCUAGCAGGUACCGGUGGAAUAGUCGAGGCGCGCGCAAAAGCUAGCCCAGACACCACCAUCAUUAAAAAAAUAAAAGGAAAACUGCAAGAAACCCACCACCAUCUAAAGUUGCAACACUCAAAAAAUUACUGGAACUAAUGAACACACAAAGAGCAGGUCCUUAAUUAGAAAUUGCAAUGAGGACAUAGACAAAUUAAUUAGCUAUUGAGCCAGGAAAGAGAUUCAAAUUUUACAUGCUUCAAGAAAAUACAGAUUUCCAACCACACAAAAUCAUCAAGAAGACUAAAAGACAUUAAAAGAAAUUCAACACCCAAUGUGGAACUAAGAACUUCCAGAGCUUAGAGUCCAGCACUUAGAAACAAACUCAAGAUUGAACAUAUUUUACAAUUAAGAAGCAAAAUAUACAAGAAAACUACAUCAUGCAAAGCUGAAACACUCAAAAAGUCCAGAAAUUCAUGAACCCAGUAAGAAAUGAGAAUGGAGACAUAAAUAAAAAAAUUAGCUAAAACCCCAGCAAAAGGAUUCAAGUUUUAAUAAUGUGCAUACUGGUUUUGAGUGGAGAGAACUCUGCUGCAAGUGGAACGGAUGGUCUCUGAAACGACCUAAUAAGCAAAGACUCC